UAGCAAGAAAAUUUUUUGGAUUAGAUUUCUCGAAACCUAAGGAGCUACCUUAAAUUUUGGUUUAGCCUCAGAUAAAGGUGGGUGUGGCAUAACUCUCUUUAAAACUUAAGGUAGAAAUUAAAUGUUAUUCGUUUUAGGUGAUAGCUAGUUAUAAUAUAAAGAUAUAUAAGUAUUGGAUAUAAUUUUAUUAUGUGUUUAUACCAUAUACAUAUAAUAACUUAUUUUCUUAGUUAUGCGAGGGUAAGCUCGUAUAAAUUUGAUUUAACUAAAAUUAUAUAUGAAUCUAGGCUUGAAAUUAGCCAUGGUUUGGAGUUUGUUAAAAAUGCAUAUAUACAAAAAACUUUGUAAUAUAUUAAAUUUAUGUUAUUCAAUUAUGCAAUUAAAGCAUGGUUGAUUUAUGCUAAGAUGAGUAUUGUUAUAAGCUAAAACAAAAAAUAAAUUAAAUUUUUUUAAAAAUUUUUUAUAAAUAUUAUAAAGUAUAUCAUAGGAACUCGGCAAAAUUUAGCUCCGCCUGUUUAGCAAAAACAUGUCUCUUUG
rnacentral:rRNA from 1 species